UACGGAGGGAGCUAGCGUUGUUCGGAAUUACUGGGCGUAAAGCGCACGUAGGCGGCUUUGUAAGUUAGAGGUGAAAGCCCAGGGCUCAACCCUGGAAUUGCCUUUAAGACUGCAUCGCUUGAACAUCGGAGAGGUAAGUGGAAUUCCGAGUGUAGAGGUGAAAUUCGUAGAUAUUCGGAAGAACACCAGUGGCGAAGGCGGCUCACUGGCCCGGUACUGACGCUGAGGUGCGAAAGCGUGGGGAGCAAACAGG
rnacentral:rRNA from 1 species